UUUAAGAAUAUCAUGUUUUAGAUCAGAUUGUUCAACUUUUGCUUGAAAUUGUUUAAUGUAUAUAACUCUGUGUCAUUCUAGAGAAUCAUCCUCAGUAGUAUUCAACAAUGACUGAUGAAAUCCAUAUCUGAAGGAUCUGUGUUUAUAAUUGUACUAUUGUCUUUUGACCUUUGUUCGUUCAUGUUAAAGUGUUCAACACUGUACAUUGGAGAUAGGGGAAGCAAAGAAAUAUAUUUAAAAGUAGAGUGUAAAGUGCGAGUUGAAUGUGUAAAUGUAGUUGUGCUUUGCAUCUUUCUUUUCCUGCAGAGCCAGCACUGAUAAUGCAGGCACAAGAAAAACAAUCAAACCAAAGAUAAUCAUUAUUAACCUUAACCCAAGGAUAUUACCCUCCAAAGGAAUGAUUAUGUGUCACAGCUGUUUUAAAACAGAAUUCCUGUUAUUUGCUGUAAAACUGGAAAAUAUUUCUCAGGACUAAAUUGAUACCAGUCUGUUGUUUAUAUCUUGGUUUGUUUAAAGGCAUGUUUAAGAUCAAAUUCCUUUUUUGUUCUGAUUUGAUCUUAUGAGGUAAGUUAUUUACGUAUGUGUGACGUUGCCCAUCAUGAUCUUUUUAUCCCUUGUAUUCUGUAUAUUGAAUGUAAUAUGACAUUCUGGUUCAGAUCUUGUGUGUAUGCGUCUUCCUGAAGAUCUAAUAUUACAUUUCCUCAGCAACUUAA